AAGUGCCCGGUGUUUCAACUUUCAAGAGUUCACUGAUAUCAUGUAAUAUGGCGGAUUGUAAAAAUUUGAAUAGUGUUGUGGUUACGGACGAAAUUUUGUCCUCAAAAAGGAAUAAAUGUCUGCAAAGCAGAAAAAGAUGAGGAAACGCCAAUUCAAAUUCUAUAGAAAGCAGCCAAAUCCAUAUCAUCUUGCACAGCCCAUGUUAAGGAAACUUUCAUAUUGGCAAGUCAUAGCUUACACGGAACAAUCUUAAAUAUUCACAGCAGAUUUGUGCCUCCUGUUUUGUGCGGCAAAUGGAUUAUAUUAUUCGGUGAUUUAGGAAAAUUGAGAGGAGAAUUUUAUACAUAUACCAUAUAUAUUAUUUUGCAAAAGUUAUAAUUCAAAUUGCUGGCAUCCUUUGUAACAAAUAGAAUUCUCUUUUGGUGAAUCAAAUAUGGCAACAGACUCAUGGAAGAAACAUUCUAUGUGAACAAAUGGGUCUCAGGACUAUGGUAUCAGUGACCAUUACCUUUCAAAUGGUGUUCAUGUAUUACACAGGGAAACAGGUGUCAUUGAAAAACUUUGUCAAAGUUAUGGCUUUAUUGAGUGUGCUGAACAGGAUCUU